GAUGAACGCUGGCGGCGUGCCUAAUACAUGCAAGUCGAGCGAUGCGGGGACGGGUGAGUAACACGUGGAAAACCUCCUAUAAGUCUGGGUUAACUUCGGGAAACCGGUGCUAAACCUGAUAUUUAUAGAUGGAUCCGCGCUGGAUUAGCGAGUUGGUAAGGUAACGGCUUACCAAGGCAACGAUGCAUAGCCGACCUGAGAGGGUGAUCGGCCACACUGGAACUGAGACACGGUCCAGACUCCUACGGGAGGCAGCAGUAGGGAAUCUUCCGCAAUGGGCGAAAGCCUGACGGAGCAACGCCGCGUGAGUGAUGAAGGUCUUCGGAUCGUAAAACUCUGUUAUUAGGGAAGCGGUACCUAAUCAGAAAGCCACGGCUAACUACGUGCCAGCCGCCGCGGUAAUUC
rnacentral:rRNA from 1 species